CCGGCACGGGUGAGUAACACGUAUCCAACCUGCCGUCUACUCUUGGCCAGCCUUCUGAAGGGAAGAUUAAUCCAGGAUGGCAUCAUGAGUUCACAUGUCCGCAUGAUUAAAGGUAUUUUCCGGUAGACGAUGGGGAUGCGUUCCAUUAGAUAGUAGGCGGGGUAACGGCCCACCUAGUCAACGAUGGAUAGGGGUUCUGAGAGGAAGGUCCCCCACAUUGGAACUGAGACACGGUCCAA
rnacentral:rRNA from 1 species